UCCGGUUUGUCACCGGCAGUCUCGCAUGAGUCCCCAACUAAAUGCUGGCAACAUGCGACGGGGGUUGCGCUCGUUGCGGGACUUAACCCAACAUCUCACGACACGAGCUGACGACAGCCAUGCAGCACCUGUGUUACGGCUCUCUUUCGAGCACUCCCAAAUCUCUUCAGGAUUCCGUACAUGUCAAACCCUGGUAAGGUUCUUCGGUUAGCAUCGAAUUAAAGAACAUAAUCCACCGCUUGUGCGGGUCCCCGUCAAUUCCUUUAUGUUUUAGUCUUGCGACCGUACUCCACAGGCGGGAUACUUAACGCGUUAGCUUCGCUACUGAAGGGGUCGAUACCUCCAACAGCUAGUAUCCAUCGUUUACGGCGUGGACUAC
rnacentral:misc_RNA from 1 species